rnacentral:misc_RNA from 1 species
AAAGUCGUAACAAGGUUUCCGUAGGUGAACCUGCGGAAGGAUCAUUAUUGAUUUUAAGAUGUGCUGGCUCUGCAUGUGCACUCUUCACAAACCAAUAUCCACCUGUGCACGCUUUGUAGGCCACAGAGCCUAUGUUUCUUUUACACACAAUUGAUGUAAUUGAAUGUUUUGAAACAAUAAAUUGUAAUACAACUUUCAACAACGGAUCUCUUGGUUCUC